rnacentral:rRNA from 1 species
AUUGAACGCUGGCAGCAGGCUUAACACAUGCAAGUCGAGCGGAGUGAUGGUGCUUGCACUAUCACUUAGCGGCGGACGGGUGAGUAAUGCUUAGGAAUCUGCCUAUUAGUGGGGGACAACAUCUCGAAAGGGAUGCUAAUACCGCAUACGUCCUACGGGAGAAAGCAGGGGAUCGCUUGUGACCUUGCGCUAAUAGAUGAGCCUAAGUCGGAUUAGCUAGUUGGUGGGGUAAAGGCCUACCAAGGCGACGAUCUGUAGCGGGUCUGAGAGGAUGAUCCGCCACACUGGGACUGAGACACGGCCCAGACUCCUACGGGAGGCAGCAGUGGGGAAUAUUGGACAAUGGGGGGAACCCUGAUCCAGCCAUGCCGCGUGUGUGAAGAAGGCCCUAUGGUUGUAAAGCACUUUAAGCGAGGAGGAGGCUCUUUUGGUUAAUACCCAAGAUGAGUGGACGUUACUCGCAGAAUAAGCACCGGCUAACUCUGUGCCAGCCGCCGCGGUAA